AGAGAUAGAGGUGCGUUUUUCAUCAGUAGCUUAUAGGAGAUAUUGAGGUGUCGCUGAAUAUGAGCAAAAGGGGAAAAUGCCGAAGGUCUGCUUUGCCUCAAUGGGGCAGGUCUGGUUGCAUCGGCUAACAGCCCUGUGACUGUCAUCGCAGGUAUGUGCGGUGGAGAGCUAUCCGG
rnacentral:ncRNA from 1 species